ensembl:lncRNA
UGGAAAAACUGGUGGGCUUUGUUCAGUGUCUCAGGUCUCUUUUUCACCUUCUCUACAGGCUCUGUGAUUGGCUCAGGCAGCAUCUGUCACUCAUAAUGGCUGACGAGUUCGUGUCCUGCCCCUUGCCCUUCCUCGGGGGUAUAUAUAGCUUGCAGGAGAGGCUUGGCACCCCUGGCAAUCGAAAUGAGACUCCUGCUCCCGUUCUCCUGCCUGGUCAGCCUGCUGGCCCUCACCACCGCAGAUUCGGUGAGUGAAGUGCCUGAAAAUGAGCCACUGAUGCGUCUACAGUUCCAGAAGGACGGCAGCCGGUUCUCGGGUUGUGACUGCACCAAAGAGAUCACCCAGAGUUCCUCCAAUGACACACCAGCACCCGAGAGAACCGUCUGCCAGCCUUGCAACGCCGGGCCACAUCUGGACGCACCCUCCAGAGAGGAUUCUGUAACCAGUGAGGAGGAAGAGGAAGAUGAGGAGGUGGUUUCAAACGAAGCAGGUGAAGUGGUAGAGCAAGAAGAGGAAAGCAAGGAGCAGGCGUUAGAGAAUAUAGACCAGGGGGAGCCGCAGGGGAACGAAGAACACCAGGAAGCAUCUGAAGAGGUGAUGGUUGAAUCAAAUGCAGCGGAGGAUGCGUCUGAAGAAGCUGAAGAUGUGGAAGAGGAGGUUUCAGAAGCAGAACUAGAUACCACCGCCACUCCUCCUGGAGAGGAACCUGAAGUUAUAGAGGAUAUAGAGGAGCCAGUGCAAAAGGGGGAAGAGGAAGUUUUGGAAGAAGCAGUAUCAGAAGAGGAGACAGUGGAGGAGCCUCAACGUCAGGGAGUUUUCGGGUUUGAAGCGGUGGCUGCAGAGAUAACAGCCUCAGUGGCUGCAGAUAGCAGCAGUAACCCUGGAGAGUUCAUGGCAGAUGCUGCCCCAAUAGAAGAUUCUAGCCCUCCUGCUGAUGAGGAACCAGUCACUGAGGAAGGUGAGACUGAGGAAGUUAAACAAGAACUACCUUCAGAAGCUGAUCCUCCUGUGAAGGAAGCCCUGCCAGAGGACAAGCCCACAAAGAAACCAACACUCAAGGUCUCUGUGAAAGGGAGGAAGACAGCAGCAGAGGGUCCUAAGACGAGGGAUCGGUCUCACAUCGAUGACACACUUCGACUCUCCAUAGCUGAGCCAUCUGAGAAGUUUUCAGGUGUGGCACUCACAAAAUGAAAAAGCCCACAUAAUUCAUUAUUUUGACAAUUUCUGAGUCUGCCUUACCUCAAGACCAAGACAGAGACAAAGUCUAUUCAAUGUUGAAUACUACAACACAAUUAAUUA